CAGUAGCCGCGGUAAUACAGAGGGUGCGAGCGUUAAUCGGAUUUACUGGGCGUAAAGCGUGCGUAGGCGGCUUCUUAAGUCGGAUGUGAAAGCCCCCGGCUCAACCGGGGAGGGUCAUUGGAAACUGGGAAACUUGAGUGUGAUAGAGGUAUGUGGAACUCCGAGUGUAGAGGUGAAAUUCGUAGAUAUUCGGAAGAACACCAGUGGCGAAGGCGACAUACUGGAUCAUUACUGACGCUGAGGCUCGAAAGCGUGGGGAGCAAACAGGAUUAGAUACCCCUGUAGUCCCUGUCUCUUAUAC
rnacentral:rRNA from 1 species